rnacentral:rRNA from 1 species
AUUGAACGCUGGCGGCAGGCCUAGCACAUGCAAGUCGAGCGGAUGAAGGGAGCUUGCUCCUGGAUUCAGCGGCGGGCGGGUGAGUAAUGCCUAGGAAUCUGCCUGGUAGUGGGGGAUAACGUCCGGAAACGGGCGCUAAUACCGCAUACGUCCUGAGGGAGAAAGUGGGGGAUCUUCGGACCUCACGCUAUCAGAUGAGCCUAGGUCGGAUUAGCUAGUUGGUGGGGUAAAGGCCUACCAAGGCGACGAUCUGUAACUGGUCUGAGAGGAUGAUCAGUCACACUGGAACUGAGACACGGUCCAGACUCCUACGGGAGGCAGCAGUGGGGAAUAUUGGACAAUGGGCGAAAGCCUGAUCCAGCCAUGCCGCGUGUGUGAAGAAGGUCUUCGGAUUGUAAAGCACUUUAAGUUGGGAGGAAGGGCAGUAAGUUAAUACCUUGCUGUUUUGACGUUACCAACAGAAUAAGCACCGGCUAACUUCGUG